CUGUACCAUCUCGGACAUUUGGCCCAGCGCGCCCCCAACCCACCUCUCGUGCUGUUUGCCCGGCUGCACAACGUGCACGCGUGGACAAGUUGCCCAGCCCGCAAGGCACUAUUCAUCUUCCCAAAACCACCUCUCUCCUCUGGCUAUGCCCAUGUCGCCUCUCCCUCACCAAAACCGCUCGCCCAGCCGCCCAUGACGCUCCAGAUCAGCACCUUGCUGCUCGCCCUCGUCUUCCUGUAGCUGCUCGUCGUGCCGCCAGAUCGACGUCUGCUCGCUGCUGCCGUGUAGGUAAGCUCCAUGGCGUCCUCCCACUCCCACCUCGUCCCAGCGAGCUCACCCUGUGCCAUGUCGCGCUUUGCCUCAUCGUCUGCGUCAUGCCGCCAGUGAGCCGUCAUGCUGGCGAGCUGCUAGCCCGCCGAGCUCUCCUGCACGCGCGCCGUCAAUCGGCCCGCCCAGCCGUGCCUCCACCUCCCCAUCUGCUCACGGGUCCCAUGCGCUCGCCGUGGCACCAUCCACCGCGCCCCUCUCCUGCUCCACCGCCGCCGGCCAUGGCAGCACAGCGGCCACGCCCACCCCGACCGGUGGACUCCUUCCCCUUGCUGCUCGUACAUGGAAGAAACUGUCGGGCGCCGCUACCCUGCUCCACUGGCCGCAUCACCGUCGCCUGGCCAUGGCCGCCGACGCCGACGUGGUCCAUUCCAUUCCCUGGCCAGCAACUGACUCGCUUGAAUGCCCCUUGCGGUUAAUCGUACGCGUCAUGCAUGGGUGCAAGGAAAAGGCAUGCAAGUAGAAAUGCCCGUGGGCCCCAUGUUGCAUGUUGCAUGUCGUAUUCCCCUCCUGGCUGCAUGCGAUCAAGGGAAAUAGUCCUCCAAGGAUCCCAUGUGGAUGCAAAAUCCAUGACCAUCCUUGAGAUUUGGCUCGGACCAAUCACAACGCACCACAUCACUUUAAAUUUGCGGUUUAUUAAAUACAUGUUAGAGUUUAUGUUAAAUCCAUUUUAUUUUGUUCGGAUUGCGUUAGCUUAAUAAUAAUGUCGUGCACACAUUAAAAAUAUUGUUUUGUCGAGACCCAUGUUUUAUUUAUUUAGUUAAUUGUUAGUUCGUUCGUUGGUUAUUAAAAAAUAACAGUUAGUUAAAACUAACUUAUCGUUUUAAGCUACCCUUUUAUAAAUACAUGUUAAUGUGAUUAUGCCAAUUCAAAUGUUUUUUAAUUUAUUCUUGCUUAGUAUAAACGCGACAUUAGUUAGUCAUUCGCGUGUGUCGUGCGCACCGUUUUCGCGUGUCGUACACAUUGCCGCGUGUCGUUCGCGCAGUAUCGCGCGCUGUCCACGCGUGAUAUUAAACCCUUAGCUUAUAAUCUCUCAUGUCAGUUAAUUAGCUAUUUCUUUAAUCGUCCACUAUUAAAAUAGUAAGUUAGUCAAAACUAAGUGAUAAUCAAUUAAUAUAAUUAUGUUGAAUUAAAUGUUCUAACUAAUACUUGUUUAGCGUAAACUUGAUAACUUCUCGGCCGUAGCUCCAACUAUCGCGGUUAUUUUCCUCGCGUAAUCGUAGAAGCGCUCUCUAUUUUAUAUUGCUCGCUUUUAUAAUAUUUUAUCUUGUAUGGUGUAAUGUUCUUAUGCAAGUAUAUGUUUACUUGUGCCUAUUUGUAUUCGUUGCGCGACACGAAUAGACUAUGAUCCAUUCCGAGCUUCGAGGAAUCGACGAUCAAGCUUCGGCGACCAAGAGAUCAAACUCUUCAAGUUCUACAAGGCUGAAGACCCUGAGCAUAUGUUUGGUGAAGGCAAGUGUCCUCUGACACAUUAUGUCCCAUUUACAUUAUAAUUUAUUGUCUUGCAUACUAUGAACAACAUAAGGAUUGACUAGCUUUCUAUUUACCUUGUCCUUGAUUACCUUUUGAGUUACUAUGGUUAGCUUCAUGCUAGCGCUUUACUUUAAUCAAUGAACAUGAUGAGAUACAAUGAUGAUACUAUGGUUUUAUUCUGGAUAUGAUGAUAUACUUGUGGCAUUUAAGGGGACUCGAGUUGUUUCACGAGUGCCUCUCCGUAAGGACUGGUUCGUUGGAUUACCGCCCGGGAAAACAGUGCAACCAUGAGGGUGGAAUGAGACGCCCUUAGCUGAAUAAUUAGAGGAACUCGGGUGUAGUUCGCUUCGUCGUCGUGCCGUUAAUGGGGCUCGGUGUAUGCGACUCGCUUUGCCAAGGUUGGUUCGCCCCUUGGGGAGGAGUGCAUUGCAUUUAGGAAACCUAACGGGCGGCUACAGCCUUAGGGAAUCUUUGUAAAGGCUUCAUAGUGAAUCUCUAGCCAUUCACCUUGUAAGUGAAUAAGGGUCUAGCAAGCCUGGGCUAGAAAGGGAAUCACGACUUGUGGGUAAAGUGCGCAACCUCUGCAGAGCAUUAUGAAACUGAUAUAUCAGCCGUGCUCACGGUUAUGAGCGGCCAAGGGAGCUCCAUUGAUUAGAGACACAUUGAUCAGAGAUGUUCUGUUUACAGAUGAUGAUGAGGAUAAUGCUGGUUUCUAUUAUGAUUAUGGUUUCUAGUAUUCUUUCCGUUUGGAAAGGGUACUUUUGGGUUAACAACUCGAGUUAAUGUUAAAACCUGGCUCUCUACUAGUAAUAAUUACCAGAUCAACUAAAAGCAACUGCUUGAUCUUAACCCCACAUAAAGCUAGUCCACUACAGCCAAACAGGACAUUUGCUGAGUACGUUGUUGUGUACUCACCCUUGCUUUCACAAAACACCAGGUUGCCCUUGGUGCAAUCUAUGCUCAGGUAAAGAAGAAGGUGUCGAGGUGGAUCUCCAGGAGUUCCAGGACUUCGACGAGUUCGAGGAUUAGGCUUGCAACCUCCCCCAGUCAGCUGCCUGUGGUGGGUUGUUUACGAUGGCUACGUUUCGAUUCUGUGUACUUUGAUUUAUAUUAUGUAAAUGGCUCUAGUUUGUAAUAUUAUUACUUACUCUUUAUUGUAAUUCGAAGCAUUGUGUUAUGAUGAGUCAUUUAUGUAAUCGUUGUGUACAUGAAUUUCUGAUCAUGGCACGUACAUGGUUCACAUUCGGUUUACCUUCCAAAACCGGGUGUGACAUAAGUGG
rnacentral:lncRNA from 1 species